AGCAGCCGCGGUAAUUCCAGCUCCAAUAGCGUAUAUUAAAGUUGUUGCAGUUAAAAAGCUCGUAGUUGAAUUUCGGGAUUGACGUAAUGGUCAUGCCUUAAGGGGUAUGAACUGUUACAGUUGAUUUCUCACCUUCUGGAGAAACUUGAUGUCCUUUAUUGGGUGUCUUGCGGAUCCAGGACCUUUACCUUGAAAAAAUUAGAGUGUUUAAAGCAGGCAUUUUUGCUCGAAUACAUUAGCAUGGAAUAAUAGAAUAGGACGGCAUGGUUCUAUUUUGUUGGUUUCUAGGAUCACCGUAAUGAUUAAUAGGGAUAGUUGGGGGCAUUAGUAUUCAAUUGUCAGAGGUGAAAUUCUUGGAUUUAUUGAAGACUAACUACUGCGAAAGCAUUUGCCAAGGAUGUUUUCAUUAAUCAAGACGAAAGUUAGGGGAUCGAAGACGAUCAGAUACCGUCGUAGUCUUAACCAUAAACUAUGCCGACUAGGAAUCAGACGAUGUUAAUUUUUUAAUGUAACUCGUUUU
rnacentral:rRNA from 1 species